rnacentral:rRNA from 1 species
UACGUAGGGCGCAAGUGUUGUCCGGAAUUAUUGGGCGUAAAGAGCUCGUAGGCGGCCUGUUGCGUCCGCUGUGAAAUCCCGGGGCUCAACCCCGGGCGUGCAGUGGAUACGGGCUGGCUGGAGGCAGGCAGGGGAGAACGGAAUUCCCGGUGUAGCGGUGAAAUGCGCAGAUAUCGGGAGAAACACCGGUGGCGAAGGCGGUUCUCUGGGCCUGUACUGACGCUGAGGAGCGAAAGCGUGGGGAGCGAACAGG